GAUAUGUCCAUCUCGUUUUAGGAAAAAGUCUCCUUUCUCGCUUCCUGGUGCUCGUUUAUUACCACCUCCGCUCCGCGAUAAAUGUCUCGCGCCCCCCAAACAUCCUAUUGCAUUGCCACGAGAAAGUCAUCCUGUCUCAAGACCUUUAACACCGGCACCUUCUAUUGACGAGACGUGGUUCCGUCGAGUUCUUAAGGAAUAUACGAGAUCCCAAAAUGAAACAAAACCACCACUAUCACCAAUAAAGGAGCCCACACCGUCGCUUCAUGAUACAAAAUCCAGCAGGAGUACCUCCAUUCAAAAGGAAAACCAAUUGCUAUUGGAAGAUAAUAGGUCGUUAUUCUCUAAGGAUUUAGUAGAUUUAAUAGGACAUAAGUAUGACGAGAGAUUGAGAGUGCUGUAUGAGACUCCAUGCCGACAGAAUUCGCAACCAUCAGCAUUGGGUUUGGUGGGGUCUCGGAAAGAAAUAAUAAAAUCCACACCGAAGAAAAUGCCGUGGAAGUAAGGUUCGUGUACUAAAGGGUGGCUGUAAUUAAGCAAGUUUGUCUAUCUGUAACCCUACAUAGUGUCCAAACUAA